GACGUAGGGCGCAAGCGUUGUCCGGAUUUAUUGGGCGUAAAGAGCUCGUAGGCGGCUUGCCACGUCUGCCGUGAAAACCAGCAGCUUAACUGUUGGCUUGCGGUUGAUACGGGUUGGCUGGAGUUCGGUAGGGGAGACUGGAAUUCCUGGUGUAGCGGUGAAAUGCGCAGAUAUCAGGAGGAACACCGGUGGCGAAGGCGGGUCCCUGGACGACUCCUGACACUGAGGCACGAAAGCUAGGGGAGCAAACAGG
rnacentral:rRNA from 1 species